AGAAUAGUCUCUCUUGCCAGUUU
rnacentral:snRNA from 1 species